AUUGAACGCUGGCGGCGUGCCUAACACAUGCAAGUCGAGCGGUAACAGGUGUAGCAAUACAUGCUGACGAGCGGCGAACGGGUGAGUAAUGCUUCGGAAUCUGCCCAUGUAGUGGGGAAUAACCAGCCGAAAGGUUGGCUAAUACCGCAUACGACCCUUGCCCACAAGGCAAAGGUGAAAGCAGGGGAUCGCAAGACCUUGCGCUAUUGGAUGAGCCGAAGUCGGAUUAGCUAGUUGGUAGGGUAACGGCCUACCAAGGCGACGAUCCGUAGCUGGUCUGAGAGGACGACCAGCCACACUGGGACUGAGACACGGCCCAGACUCCUACGGGAGGCAGCAGUGGGGAAUAUUGGACAAUGGGGGCAACCCUGAUCCAGCGACGCCGCGUGUGUGAAGAAGGCCUGCGGGUUGUAAAGC
rnacentral:rRNA from 1 species